rnacentral:rRNA from 1 species
AUGUCAAGAUCAAGGGCCAGCUCUUUUGAGGUGAUUCUCGACAACCGCGUCUCGAGAAUCAACAAUCGGAUUGUAAAACAUAACGGAUGCGAUUUAUAUCCAGCAGCCGAGACCAUGCAUCAUAUUUUGCUCAGAUGCAAACUUGCCCAAGUUGUUUGGGCCAAGGCCGGCCUCCUGGAUUCGGCAAGCUCUACUGAAACUGCUGCAGACUUUCUGGCCUCUGGGGUUGCGAGGGAAGCAUAUGAUGCACUCUGGCAUGUUUUCUUUGCAGCUGGUGCAGUGGCGCUUUGGCAUGCCAGGAAUGCACAAGUCUUUCAUAACGUUUGUUGGACAACCGGAAAGGUUCUUACUGAGAUUGCUCAGCUACUCAUGCUCUGGAGGCUGAGAGCACCGGGAAGAAAUGCAAGGGAGGUUUUAACUUCUUGA